rnacentral:rRNA from 1 species
CCUAUGAAGCUUUACUGUAACUUGAAAUUGAAAUUGGACUUUAUUUGCGCAGCAUAGGUGGGAGGCGUUGAAGAUAUUCUUGCGGGAAAAUUGGAGCCAUCAGUGAGAUACCACUCUUGUAAUGUUAGAUUUCUAACUUUGUAUCAUUAUCUGGUCAAAGAACAGUUUCAGGCGGGCAGUUUGACUGGGGCGGUCGCCUCCCAAACGGUAACGGAGGCGCACAAAGGUUUCCUCUGAACGGGUAGAAAUCGUAUCUAGAGUGUAAAGGCAUAAGGAAGCUUGACUGUGAGACCUACAAGUCGAGCAGGGACGAAAGUCGGUCUUAGUGAUCUGACGGUGCUGAGUGGAAAGG